AGAGUUUGAUCAUGGCUCAGAUUGAACGCUGGCGGCAUGCUUUACACAUGCAAGUCGAGCGGCAGCGCGGGGGCAACCCUGGCGGCGAGCGGCGAACGGGUGAGUAAUGCAUCGGAACGUGUCCCGUAGUGGGGGAUAACCCGGCGAAAGCCGGGCUAAUACCGCAUAUGCUCUACGGAGGAAAGGGGGGGAUCCGCAAGGACCUCUCGCUAUGGGAGCGGCCGAUGUCCGAUUAGCUUGUUGGUGGGGUAAUGGCUUACCAAGGCGACGAUCGGUAGCUGGUCUGAGAGGAUGAUCAGCCACACUGGGACUGAGACACGGCCCAGACUCCUACGGGAGGCAGCAGUGGGGAAUUUUGGACAAUGGGGCAACCCUGAUCCAGCCAUGCCGCGUGCGGGAAGAAGGCCUUCGGGUUGUAAACCGCUUUUAGUCGGGAAGAAAAGGCCUGGGCGAAUACCCUGGGUUUUUGACGGUACCGGCGGAAUAAGCACCGGCUAACUACGUG
rnacentral:rRNA from 1 species